GUUUCGAACGUAUAAAAAAGCAAAUAACGUAAUAGGAUAUAAUUAAAUUAUUUUAGUAAUAAUAUGAUUACAAUAGUGAUAAACCAAAGUUGUGACUGAAAAUCGUAAAGACAUUUCCGCAAUUGCUUCAAUUAAAAUCAUGCUUCAUCCUAACUCCACGUCCAUCAGCAAAGAUGUUUGUGUCUGCGGAAGUCGACUUGCGCUAAGGAUCUCAAUAACAGAUGGCUUAAAAAUAGGCCGGCGGGCAUAUAGGCCAACAGAAUGUGGCUAAGUCGAAUUGAACUUGAAUCAGAGAAACAUGCGAUAUGCAAGUGUUACGGUACAGAAAAACUCUGCUACAUAUGCUCCAUAAAUUUCUAUAUAUAUAUCAAGAAUCUGAUGGCGAGCGAAACAAUAAUAUAUCUUAGAGCAGACCUUGAGAUCGUAUCGGUUACGGCAGGUGAAUGUUAUUGAGUUCAUUGUAGCAUCUUGGCAUCACUUGAUGCUCUUAUGAUCGCAUUCUUAUUACAAUGCAUGCAAAAGCAUGUGAUCGAAUAAGCAAGCCAUGAUGUAGCUAAAGCCCAAUGAAGCACUAAUGGAGACAUAAACUCGUUAAUUUUAAGGCAAUUUCACUGCAGUUGCAUCAAUACAAACACCAUACGGCGAGGAGAAAAGAUUGGUUCUUCAAUAACUCCUCCGUGUUCAAAGGCUGUGACCUGGAUUUCCUACCUCCAUCUUAGAUUGGGAUUUCGUCAACUAUAUGAUGCUGAAUAAAAUGCUUUGGUCGACAAUUUCGGACAUGACUUCACACAACCCUUUUUACCACCUUUUCUAAACUGGAUUAUAAAAAGUGGGAUUGGUUGCAUUAAGAUCACCACGUCUUGAGGCCGAUUCAAUAUUAUUCGGUUUUGCACACUUUCCAGCCAUCUAAGAAGUUUUACAAACUGAAUCCUUGCGACGAUUACGUCAACCCUAUGAACUUACCACGCAUAGAAUAUAGAAAACAAAUCUUUAUUUAUUUUGUUUUUUUAUUUAA